CAAUACCUACAUCCACUCCUCAAGCAAUCCUUUGAGAAUUUCAACUAUAAUUACCAAGAUUAUAGUCCAAUUAUUUUAUCAAGAUCAUAAUUAAGCUUAGUUGAUUCUUCUUAGGCACGCCAACCAAAAUCUUUCCCUAAGCCACUCCUAGGUUAUAUAAAGUCCAAUUCAAGGCUUAGAUGAGCCUAUCCCUUAAGUAUCAAUUUCAAUUAAAACUUGCAACAAUAGAAGAUUGAAUACAAUAUAAAGCACAAACUAAAAGCUCCUUAAUGACCAAAUAAAAAAUGUUGAUGUAGCCCAA
rnacentral:lncRNA from 1 species